UUGGGAUAUAGCCAAGCGGUAAGGCAACGGACUUUGACUCCGUCAUUCCCCUGGUUCGAAUCCAGGUAUCCCAGCCAUGAGCCAUUAGCUCAGUUGGUAGAGCAUUUGACUUUUAAUCAAAGGGUCGAAGGUUCGAGUCCUUCAUGGCUCAUUAA
rnacentral:tRNA from 1 species